rnacentral:lncRNA from 1 species
GAAACCAAUCCAAAGUCCUCGCAUAAGUUUUUAGUUUUAGCUUACUCUCCUACUAACUCACCCUCAAAUGGCACGUCAUGCCGAUCGCCUUGCCGAUAUUGGGAGGGAGGGUUUCGAUCUAUUGGACAGAUUUUAUGGUGGAGGGGCAUCCAAUCGAGGACCAAAGAAGCAAUACAAUGCCCCACAGCAGUAUGCUCCCGUUCCUAGCAACGAGAAAUACAAUGCCCCACUGCAGUAUGCUACCAAAUACAAUGCCCCACAGCACCAUGCUCCCGUUCCUAGCAACGAGAACAUAAUCGAUUGCAAGAAGGCCGCCGAAAAAUACAAAGGAGUGGUGAUCAUGGAGCACUGCAAGAAGAGGUUUGUCGGCUGGCGAUUUUGAGGUUUCUCGCGCUGUAAACUUGUAAUGGUUCGAGUAACUCCCUAGAAGGUAGAAGUAAACCGGCCAUACAAGUCCUUGUCACGGUUUUUGUCAUUUUUGUCGUUUUGAAUCUAGUACUAUGCUUAUGUGUCUUUUGUUUCUUGCUUUCUAAAGGUUAGUUGUAUACUUGGAUGUGUCUGAGCUAGUAACUGGACCUCCUUUUCUUAACUAAAUGUUUCACUUUUUACUCCUAUUUCUGGUCAAAUUUACACC